rnacentral:lncRNA from 1 species
UAGUAAAUUCGAAUGACUACAACCUUGAUCAAUCUGAUCACAAAGUGAGUUUUUCAUGCUUAUGCACUGGUAUCAUGGUUUCUAUGUUGUUAGUAACAAAAACACUUCUUCCACAUUAAACAGUACUGCAUAGAUACAAGUUUAGCACAAUGAAUUUCUAAGUUAUUUCACACAAGGAAUUUACAAGCUAAUGAAAAUAAAUAGAUUUAUAGGAUAUUUAUCUAAAUACGGCUCCUAUCGUUUAAGGUUAGUAAAUACAUACUAGGAAAUGCUCUUCAGGGAUACCAGAACUGGAAGAUCCUGUCAAGGGGAAACAGGACCUUAAUAAGCGCCAUCCCGAGACUUGGACUCGAGGGAUGGUA